UUACUUUGGCUGGUAACAUUGCUGUAUUAACUGUAGUUAGUUGUAGGAGACAUCAGCGUUUGCCCAUUCAAUCCCUUAUGACUCUGCCUUAUUAUUUGGGUGUCUAUCUGUCUCUGUGAAGAUACACACCUAGAAAAAGUUGAACUAUCACAAGGUCAAUGGCAAAUCCUGAAUAGUUUAGGCCAAACAUGGUAAUUCCCUUCCCUGUGGUUUAAGGGUGGGCAUGUGCUGCAGACGCAUGGAGAGAUAAGCUGAGGGACUUCUCAAUUAGGGUCUUUACUUCUUUCCCUUGUCCUUCCUUUCUUUUUCCCUCCCUCCUUCUCACUUUCCUUCUUUCUCUUGGCAACAUGUCAGAAGAAACUGUUCCUCUUCUGCUGCGAAUGCAAUACGUCAGCAUCAUUUUAUGGCCCUGAGUGUCAGGGUCACACUGAUGGUAAACCCAGUAAUGAAAGCAGAGCACAUAGAAAGAGCCUGGACCCAAACUGAUAGUGUUGACUCGAUUUGCUUGCAAAACUUCUAUAAAUAUAAGAAAUAUAUAUCGUACCAUUUUUUAAAGUAUAAAUUUCUAGGUUCCACCACAGCCCCAAAUCAGAAUACCCCAGGAAAGGGCCUGGAAAGCUAUGAUUUUUAAACAGCGAGUCUCAACAUCAGAGAAGUUUGGAAACACUGGUUUAACACACUUUUCAUUUGUUUUUAUUACUGCAGUUAAAGGAUCGUACAUUAUAUUACAAUUCCCUCAUUCUACACUUUAGAGUCCUAAUAUGGGACUACUGUAAAAUUUCAGAGGAAAUUACUCCUUGGAGUAGGGAAUGAGUUAAAUAAUAUACCACAUGCCAAUUGCAGAAACUGUGGUUAAGAUGUCCUCUCUUGCUCCCUUUGCAAAUUCUUAAAUUUCUAGAACACAUAAUUGUCUUCAGUGGGCCAGAGGAAUCAAGGAAUGUUUAAAACAACUUCAAAGGGUAAGGUCAUGCAUAGACUCCAUUGCACUAAGACAUCCAUUUAGCAGCAUGCAGCAAAUUUUAAACUGAAAUGCAGCAUAACCAAGCCACACCUCAACUGGGCCCUUAUAUAAGCAUCUAGACAGCCGCUGUAUCUGGAUCUGAUUUUCCUUCUCUGUAGAAGUUGGGAUUUCUGACCCUGUUAGACCCACUCUUGGUACCUGUUAUGGGCUGAAUUAGGUUCCUCCUAAAAACACAGUAUCUCAAACUGUAUUUAGAGAUAGGUUCUCUGAAGAGCUAAUUAAGUUAGAAUGAGGACAUAUGGGUAAGCCCUAAUUCAUUAUGUCUGAUAUCCUUAUAAAACAAAGAGAUUAUGACACAGUCACACACAGAGGGAAGACUAUAUGGAGACACAGGGAAAAGAUGACCAUCUUUAAGCCAAGGAAGGAGGCCUCAGAUAAAUAACCCUCCUGGCACCUUGAUCUCAGACUUCUAGUCUCCUGCACUCUGACAAAAUCAGUUUCUGCUACUGAAGCCAUCUAGUCUGUGGUGCUUUGUUAUGGAAGCCCUAGAAAACUAGUACAGUUUCUUUCAGGCAAGAAUGCUUGCAACUCAUCUUGCUGCCUGCUUUGAUAUCUCCUGAAUUAGACAAAGUCUGGCACUUUCCUUUUCAGUCUUGCUAAGGACGGAGUCCCUUUAAGAACUCUACUUCCGCCAAAAUCAGAUCAUCUCUGGGCAUACUACUAUAGUCAGGAUGAAAGAAUAGUUUUGUAAUAUCAUCUCUCAAAUUCACUUCCAGGCCAGGCACAGUGGCUCACACCACUAAUUCUGGCACUUUGGGGUGCUGAGGCGUGUAGAUCACUUGAGACCAGGAGUUUGAGACCAACCUGGCCUACAAGGGGAAACUCUAUCUCUGUUAGAAAUACAAAAAAAUUAGCUGGGCAUGGUGGAGCAUGCCUGUAAUCCCAGCUAUGUGGGAGGCUGAGUAACAAGAAUUGAUUGAGCCCGGAAAGCGGAGGUUGCAGUGAGUCCAGAUUGCAUCAAUGUAUUCCAGCAUGAGGGAUAGAGACUCUAGUCUCAAAAAAUACAAGAAAUUCACUUCCAUAUUCUUUCAUUUUUUAAUUGUCUGUUUUUGUGACUUUCCCCUCCACUGACUCUGUCUUGAGGAUGAAAUUGCCUUGCUCACCGUUAUUAUUCCAGGACUUGUAACAGUAACGUGCAUAUAAUGGACAUGCCAAAAAAUGGGAACUAAAGAAAGAACAGUGAAAAAGUGAGUGAAUGAAUGAAUGAAGCUCAAGGAGCAUGCAGCACAGAGAAACAGUACACUAUUAUGCACCAACUGGGCAUUUGAUAAAUAUGCCAAGUAGCUGACUAGCGAACAGAGCAACUCUGUAAAGAUAACAAAUUGCAUCACUUUUCCCUGGCUAGAUUGAUUACACGUAUUACCACGGCUAUUUCUUUCUGGCAACAUUUUUCAUUAUAGGGAAUAUUAAUGAGUUAACAAGGACCCUAUCUUUGUUUAUCUCCUUUCCCAUUUUAACAAGCAAUUCUGAUGCUAAAAGACAAAUCUCUGGAUUUAUAAUAGCCUGACCACUAUAAAAACAGUCAUAUGGUACAACUUUUAAAAAAUUCUCUGUACAGAAAUAAUUAUUGGAAUUACUUGGUAAAAUCUGAAAACACAUCAAUAACAAAUACUACCCAUUUGUAGAUUGAAAGUGUUUACAGGUUUCUGGCCACAACUUUUUAAUCUGUCUCUAUUUAGCCUUUAAAAUAUACAAUGCGCUAUGCUAAACAUCAGUGGGGACAAAAAAAAAUACAUAAAAUCUUGUUCCCCUCCCUCACAAUGCUUACCAUUUGUCUGUGCUAGAAAGAUAUGUCCAGGUGAAAAGUUUAGAUGUCAGAAUAAUACUACAGAUGUCGUUAAUGUCAAAUACUUUAUGUUUAAGUUAAUAUGUAAUAAGUUUGACUUAAUUUGUAUUAUAUGCAAUUUCCUUCAAUAUAUUUUAUUUUAGAAAGUUAAAUGAAAUAUAUUUGUGUGUGCAUGUAUGUGCAUAUACAAAAAAUAUUGUAUCAGUAUAGGAAGAUAAAUGCUAAAAUGUGAACAGUGAUUAUCUUUGGCUGGUAAGACUCUGAAUGAUUUGAAAGUCUUCUUUAUGUUUGACUGUAUUAUGUAAAUAUUUACAAUUGUUCAUACAAUACCCUUGUUUAGUUAAAAAUAUGCGGCCAUCAACUGCAACUACCACAUGAAGAAUAAAAAAGGUAAAUGCUAAAACUUCAUAAAAGGAGAUGACAGCUUUGGACUGAAAUAUUCAGGAAAGCAUUAUGGAGGAGCUAGGCUAUGAAUGAUGGUAGAAUUGUGAUAGUUGAAGACAAUGGAGGAAAUUUGGCUGCACGUAUCACCUUUCAAUCAGCACAAAGCAACCCUACAGGUUACCUCCGUCCACGACAGACAUAAGCCAUAGGCCCCUCAAGAGCUCGAACACUGUUUUCCCAGAACACACGUUGUUAACCCCUCCUUUUUUCUAUUGCCAUCUGGCCUCAACGUCUUGCCCUUGUCCCGUGUUUGUAAUUCUAUAAAUGGUUUUCGAACUUGGCUUUUGCAAUCAGUUUUUCCUCUUUGGCUUCUGCUCUUUUUCAAGGACAUGGACUCAAAUGCUCCCCUCAACCCACAUGCAGUACCAAAUCUAACCACAAUCAGCCCCUAGGACCCACAGCUCUCCUCAGUGCUAACUAGCCCCACAGUAGGGUCCAGAAACAGGAAAUGGCAUGACCAAGUUUGUAAUGUAUAAGGUGUGCUUAGAAAUCAGUGUCAGAAUUCAGAGAUAGGGUACAACUAGGAAAAUUGAGGACAAAAGCAGAUUCACACUGUGAAAAACCUGAAAAGCCACCGUAUUAGUUUUCCUGUUGCUAUACUGUAUAGCUACAAAUGUAGUAGCUUAAAACAACACAGACUUGUUCUACAGAUCACGAGUCUGAUAGGGCUGGGCUAAAAUACAGGUAUUAGCAAGUUGUGUUUCUUUUGGGGUCUCUAAACAAGAUCUAUUUCCUUGCCUUUCCAGGUUCUAAAGACCGCCCACAUUCCUUGGCUCAUGGCCCCCUUCACUCUUUAAGGCCAGCGAUGGCCAGUAGAGUCCCACAUCACACUCCAGCUGGCAGAGCAAUACAAGCAGCUGAACGUCAAGGAUACAAGUGGCUGAACGGCAAGCAGAGAAGCAACUGAGCACCAGAGACUAUGGAUAGAAGAGGCUAACUGCAGAUGGUGUGGCUUCUGAGAGGGGCCCAGCGGGAGAACGCCGGGCUUCAGGGAAAGAUCAUCUUCCCAUCUCCUUUCCAGCCUCCAUUUCCGCUGAGCUAAAUAAAGUCUUCUGCAUUCAUCACCUUUCAAA